rnacentral:lncRNA from 1 species
AUAGAAUUAGCUGAAUUUCAAUGAAGUUAAGUUCAAUUGUCUCCACCGUCAAGUCAAGUCAAAAAAUUCCUAAAUGCAUUUCAGCCCAUUCCUAAGAGGAAAAACUGUAGAGAUCGACUAGGGAGGUUUUGGGCAGAUAUAGUAAUAAAUGUGACUUGUGAUGGUGAUAUACUCAUGAUGUGAAGUAAGAAUUAGGAAUGAUGUUGUGGGAACCAAAGAAUGCUUCCAAAGAAAGCAAACCAUGGACUCAAUUCAUGAAAGUGAUAAAUUUCGGUUUCUAUAUUAUUGAAAAGAGACUGGAGUGGAGCUGUGAACUUGUAUUGGCGAGAAGGCAUCUAAUCUUGUACAUAGUUGCUUGUUCUAUUUAAGUGAGAAUUAGUUUUCUUGAAGUUUGUCAAGAUCGAGUUUGAAAAUAAAUGUACAAGGCAUUGCCUGCAGCUGUGCAUUAGUUUGGUAACAGCUGGGUCUUGAUAGUCAAAUGGGUUCAUGGCUGUAACACAUUUCCCACUCCUUGAGAUGUAUAUGCCUCGUGGUCAACGAAAUAAUAAUUAUAAUAUUUAUUUAUGCAUGACAGAAUCAGAAAUGAAUGUACCUUACUUAUAUCUGACCUAUUACCAUAACAAAUAUUAGUACUUUGCUUGCAAAGUAAGAAUAGCAGUUUGAAACUUGUUUUGGGCAUCAUACUUACCCUUCACCUACUGUAAAUGAUUUUUAUUCUCUGUAGCCUACCAGAAAAGAGUUCGGAUUGAUGUUGAACUAUUAUGCAAGACGAGGUGACAUGCAUCGUACACAAUAAACUAUUGAGAAGAUGCGGGCUCGGGGAAUAGAGCUGAAUUUACUUGUAUUUACAAAGUAAAAAUUGUUAUAUUGUGCCUUCUGCUCUCCUCCGAUGCACUAUUAGCCAUUUUGCAAUAUUUCGCCUAUGUUUGAGCUCCAUUUUUUCCUAAACUCAUUUUUUCUAAAACUCAUUUCGACUACACAUUCUCCCAUAAAAUAAUUUAACACGUAAAUCCAAAACUUUUUCCUAUUUUUUAACCACACAUCCUCCGAAAAAUAACUAUUACAAAACCUAUUUUCCCUCAAAAAUGGGGCUCACAGGGCUUUGGCGCUUUUCUCAAAUGCUAAGGGACAUUGUAUUUUACUAUUGUUCCUAGUUACACAUGCUUAAGAAGUUUAUUUGACUCCCAUUUUGAAUUAUUAAGUGACUUAUCUCACAAUACAUCCACUUUACAUUGCUACAGCCUUAUUCAUUCACAUAUGCAGUAGGAAGAGACAUGGAAGAACCAUUGUCAUGUGUAAGAAAGAUGGAAGGCAACAUUUAUGAUGCGCUCUGUCGUCGCUCCGGGGGUCCUGUCCGCACGUAGUAAAGGGAGGUUCACAAGGAAGAGAAUCGCAUCCUGAAUGUUCAGCCCAAGUGUGUAUAAGCUGUGAUCCCAUCGGAAUUUUCUUGGAUGGCGAAUCAAGAGGAAAGGCCGUCGCUCCUCAGAAUUAGUCAGACGAAGCUCGGACACUUAAGUAAUAAAAAAAAUAAAAAUAAAAAUAAAGAUGGAGGUAGAAGGUUUUGAAAUGAGCUUGGUGACAUACAGUAUUCUUGUGGGAGGGUUUUCUAAAAUUGUCAAUAUUGAGUAAGUAGAAAUUCUGCACCAAUGCAUAUAUUACAUUCAAAUGCUUAUUUUUCCAAAUUUUAUGUAGGUUGACUGGAUUGGGUUUGUCAACAACCCAUACCUUACUCAUCCAAGUAUUUAUUGCUUAGUUUAUUUAGCACAGUUUUUCUGGAGUAGUGAUCGUUAAGUGUUUGCUAAUUCUUAGGCUCUGUAAUUAGAAUAUAAUUGGGUGGUCCAUCAAAAGUUAACCACAUCGUGUGGAAAGAAUAUGAAAUCAAUACAAGCAGGGAAGGAAGUAGUGGAGAGGCAUUUGGUGUAUGUAUCUCCAGUAGGAGUGGUUGUCCCCUCUGAUUUGCUACCCUUCCACCAUUCUUUCUCUUUCUCUGCUAUUUUUUCCAUUAGAUUUCACUCCUGAGCACAUGAAAUAGACACGUAUAGUCUCAAUUUAGACUGAAGUUCUCAUCAUAUAAAGCACCAGAAGCGCUAGACAUCUUAUUAAUUUGUUGGCUUGAUAUAGUUCUCUACUUUUUCCUUGAUACAAUUUUUCUUCACUAGUAUUAUUACUUCAACAGCUAUAUAGAUGCUAGUUUGUCUUCUACUUUUAUGUAGAGCAUUGCCCGUGCGCAGAGGUCAAUGCUAUCUUAUUUCUUGUCCUAGAGUGCAUCUCAUCAAACCUAAUUUUCCUCAGGGAAACUUGAUAGGAUAGAGGCUGGAGUAGUUGAUCCAGUAGUUCCAGAUAUAGAUUGAAGGAUCUCGAAUAAACAACCAUCCACAAAUGUUAAUUCAUUUGAGAAAGAAAGUGUUCGAAACUUCUUAAGGUAAUGCUAUGUACUGAUAUUCCUCCCUCUAGACAUUUAGGCAUAAAAAACUAGCUUAUAUUAAAUAUCAAUUAAAAAUCUGGCUAUAUAAUCAAAGAGACAAAAGUUUCUUAUUCCAAUAUUCCUUCUUUUUUUGUUCUCUAGAUUCCUCCUUCAUAAUUUUGUACUUUGUGGUUCUCCAGUAAUUACUUUCCUGAAUUGAUAUUGAUGAGAUUUUCCACAUUACAUUCUGUCAUUACCUUCUAAAUUCCUUAUCAAAUGUUUCUUUGCUAUUUCUGGAAUAGCUGCAGAGCUUUGGUUUAAGGAGGCCAAAGAGAAACUUACAAGCUUAAAUGUGAUUAUAUAUGGGAACAAAAUUUAUGCUAAUUGGUAAGUUGAAUUUAAUUUUCAUUCUAAUAUUACUUUCUGUUGUUAUUUUAUAUGUGUAUUUGGAACAAAAUUCUAUGCACCUUCCACUAAUGUACACAAUUUUUAAGUGCUCUUCCCGUUGUGGACAUUAAUGUUGACAUUCCUGUCAAUCCCUCUCUCUCGUCUCCUUGUGUGUGUGUUGGGGGUGUCCUUUUCUAAUUAUUGGGGGAGGGGGAGCGCCUAUUUUACUUUUGUUAAUGAACUCAUUUGUAACGUCUCAAAUUUUCAUGACACCUGAGUGUUACCAAAAAUUCAUUUUUCUUUACUUUACGUGCGAAAAGAUCAAAAUUAAAAUUCUUUAAUAAGUAAUAACUGCGACAUUCACAAAUUUAAAGUAAACAUAGCGAUUGUAUCUAAAAAAUAACAAUAAACAUGUCUUAAAAUUAACAAAUAAUUAUGAAGGCAGAAAACUUAAUAGAAACUUUAUUUUUUGUUAUUACGAUCUACUUGGUAGCCCGCAUCACCGCCCUUCCACAAUACCAAUCGACUCGAACUAACCUGUAAGAAUUUGUAAAAGUGAGUAUUCGAAAACACCCAAUAAAAUACGUGCAGUUUUCAUAUAGAUAUAUAUAACAAGAAAAUCUACAUUUCAUACCGCUCUGCUCUUAUGGAGUAUAUCUGUGACUAAGCGACACACUCAUCUUAGGUACUCUUAUAUCUCGUAGGAUUUCAUUUCUCUUUUUAUAGAACCCGAAGGUCUACUAGCAAUCCAUGCAUAUUUAAUUGCAUAUAAAAGCAUAUAGAAACGAAAACCACUUGCACAUAUGUAUCUUACCUCGUUUGAAAAGUCUGAAUGCUCGUUCAAAAUCUUUUCUCCGCUUUGAAAAAUACGUGAUUAAAUUAUUUGAUGUAUGCAAACUUUAUUUCCAAUACUAUUCUCUCUCUUUCCUCUCUCUCUUAGCCGUAAGUAUUGUGUUUAUUUUUUUUUUAGUAGUGAAUGAUGAGACUUU